rnacentral:tRNA from 1 species
GAGGGUAUAGCUCAGUAGGUUAGAGCAUCAGAUUGUGGUUCUGAGGGCCGUCGGUUCGAAUCCGAUUAUCCUCC